rnacentral:rRNA from 1 species
UGAACGCUGGCGGCGUGCUUAACACAUGCAAGUCGAACGAACCUUCGGGUUAGUGGCGGACGGGUGAGUAACGCGUGAGAAUCUGCCCUCAGGAGGGGGAUAACGGCUGGAAACGGCCGCUAAUACCCCAUAUGCCGAGAGGUGAAAUGAAUUUCGCCUGAGGAUGAGCUCGCGUCUGAUUAGCUAGUUGGUGGGGUAAGAGCCUACCAAGGCAUCGAUCAGUAGCUGGUCUGAGAGGAUGAUCAGCCACACUGGGACUGAGACACGGCCCAGACUCCUACGGGGGGCAGCAGUGGGGAAUUUUUCCGCAAUGGGCGCAAGCCUGACGGAGCAACGCCGCGUGAGGGAUGAAGGCCUCUGGGCUGUAAACCUCUUUUAUCAAGGAAGAAGAUCUGACGGUACUUGAUGAAUAAGCCACGGCUAAUUCCGUGCCAGCAG